rnacentral:rRNA from 1 species
UACGGAGGGGGCUAGCGUUGUUCGGAAUUACUGGGCGUAAAGCGCACGUAGGCGGCUUUACAAGUCAGGGGUGAAAGCCCGCGGCUCAACCGCGGAAUUGCCCUUGAGACUGUAUCGCUUGAACACGGGAGAGGUGAGUGGAAUUCCGAGUGUAGAGGUGAAAUUCGUAGAUAUUCGGAAGAACACCAGUGGCGAAGGCGGCUCACUGGACCGUUGUUGACGCUGAGGUGCGAAAGCGUGGGGAGCAAAC